GAUGAACGCUGGCGGCGUGCUUAACACAUGCAAGUCGAACGGAAAGGCCACAGCUUGCUGUGGUACUCGAGUGGCGAACGGGUGAGUAACACGUGGGUGAUCUGCCCUGUACUUCGGGAUAAGCUUGGGAAACUGGGUCUAAUACCGGAUAGGAAUCACAUGUGGGUGUGUGGUUGGAAAGCUUUUGCGGUAUGGGAUGAGCUCGCGGCCUAUCAGCUUGUUGGUGGGGUAAUGGCCUACCAAGGCGUCGACGGGUGGCCGGCCUGAGAGGGUGUACGGCCACAGUGGGACUGAGAUACGGCCCAGACUCCUACGGGAGGCAGCAGUGGGGAAUAUUGCACAAUGGGCGCAAGCCUGAUGCAGCGACGCCGCGUGGGGGAUGACGGCCUUCGGGUUGUAAACUCCUUUCGUCAGGGACGAAGCGAAAGUGACGGUACCUGGAUAAGAAGCACCGGCUAACUACGUG
rnacentral:rRNA from 1 species